GACUGAUCGAAGCAAUGCGUUCUCUUCAGGUUUCUGACUUCAAGCAAAGCUGUAAAAUUGUCGAGGACAUUUUCGAUCACGUCUGAAAGUAUACCUCGGUCUUCUAAAGCUUUAGUUUAUUCAGAAUAUGGCGACCCAAGUAAGGUUAUCAGUCUACAAGAUUAUCCUCUACCAGAAUUCAACAGAGAAAGUGUUUUUCUAAAAAUGUUGACUUCACCUGUCAAUCGAGCUGAUCUGAAUGUGCUUCAAGGAUUGUAUCCCAUCAAACCUUCCCUCCCUGCAGUUGGUGGUAACGAGGGUAUCGGCGAAGUGUUGGCAGUUGGUGAUGA